rnacentral:rRNA from 1 species
CCAGACUCCUACGGGAGGCAGCAGUGAGGAAUAUUGGUCAAUGGGCGUAAGCCUGAACCAGCCAAGUAGCGUGCAGGAUGACGGCCCUAUGGGUUGUAAACUGCUUUUAUGCGGGGAUAAAGUGGCCCACGUGUGGGUUUUUGCAGGUACCGCAUGAAUAAGGACCGGCUAAUUCCGUGCCAGCAGCCGCGGUAAUACGGAAGGUCCGGGCGUUAUCCGGAUUUAUUGGGUUUAAAGGGAGCGUAGGCCGCGCCUUAAGCGUGUUGUGAAAUCCGGGUGCUCAACAUCCGGCUUGCAGCGCGAACUGGGGCGCUUGAGUGCGCUGAAAGUAGGCGGAAUUCGUGGUGUAGCGGUGAAAUGCUUAGAUAUCACGAGGAACUCCGAUUGCGAAGGCAGCCUACUGUAGCGCUACUGACGCUGAUGCUCGAAAGCGUGGGUAUCGAACAGGAUUAGAUACCCUGGUAGUCCACGCGGUAAACGAUGGAUGCUCGUUGUCGGCCCUUCGGGUCGGUGACCAAGCGAAAGCGUUAAGCAUCCCACCUGGGGAGUACGCCGGCAACGGUGAAACUCAAAGGAAUUGACGGGGGCCCGCACAAGAAGGGC